UACGUAGGAUGCAAGCGUUGUCCGGAAUUAUUGGGCGUAAAGAGCGCGCAGGCGGUUUGAGAAGUCAGAUGUGAAAGAGGCCGGCUUAACCGGCAAGGGUCAUUUGAAACUGACAGACUAGAGUACAGCAGAGGAUAGCGGAAUUCCCGGUGUAGUGGUGAAAUGCGUAGAUAUCGGGAGGAACACCAGUGGCGAAGGCGGCACUCUGGGCCGGAACUGACGCUGAGGAGCGAAAGCGUGGGGAGCGAACAGG
rnacentral:rRNA from 1 species